rnacentral:rRNA from 1 species
AUUGAACGCUGGCGGCAGGCCUAACACAUGCAAGUCGAACGAGUGGCGGACGGGUGAGUAAUGACUGGGAAACUGCCUGAUGGAGGGGGAUAACUACUGGAAACGGUGGCUUAUAACGCAUACCAUCGGAUGUGCCCAGAGGGGAGUAGCUAGUAGGUGGGGGAACGGCUGACCUAGGCGACAAUCCAUAGCUGGUCUGAGAGGAUGACCAGCCACACGGGAACUGAGACACGGUCCAGACUCCUACGGGAGGCAGCAGUGGGGAAUAUUGCACAAGGGGCGCAAGCCUGAUGCAGCCAUGCCGCGUGUAUGAAGAAGGCCUUCGGGUUGUAAAGUACUUUCAGCGGGGAGGCGUUACCCGCAGAAGAAGCACCGGCUAACUCCGUGCCAGCAGCCGCGGUAAUAC